GGCCAGUUAGCUCAGUCAGUUCAGCGUGGUGCUAACAACGCUAAGGUGAUGGGUUCGAUUCCCAUUUGGUCC
rfam:Apaloderma vittatum contig80949, whole genome shotgun sequence.